rnacentral:rRNA from 1 species
CCUACGGGCGGCAGCAGUGGGGAAUCUUGCACAAUGGGCGAAAGCCUGAUGCAGCAACGCCGCGUGAGCGAAGAAGGCCUUUGGGUCGUAAAGCUCUGUCCUAAGGGAAGAAGGAAGUGACGGUACCUUAGGAGGAAGCCCCGGCUAACUACGUGCCAGCAGCCGCGGUAAUACGUAGGGGGCAAGCGUUAUCCGGAAUUAUUGGGCGUAAAGGGGGCGCAGACGGCGAUGCAAGCCAGGAGUGAAAGCCCGGGGCCCAACCCCGGGACUGCUCUUGGAACUGCGUGGCUGGAGUGCAGGAGGGGCAGGCGGAAUUCCUGGUGUAGCGGUGAAAUGCGUAGAUAUCAGGAGGAACACCGGUGGCGAAGGCGGCCUGCUGGACUGCAACUGACGUUGAGGCCCGAAAGCGUGGGGAGCAAACAGGAUUAGAUACCCCAGUAGUC